GACGAACGCUGGCGGCGUGCUUAACACAUGCAAGUCGAACGGUGAAGCGCCUUCCUUUUUGGUGGGUGUGGAUGAGUGGCGAACGGGUGAGUAACACGUGAGUAACCUGCCCCCUUCUUCUGGAUAACCGCAUGAAAGUGUGGCUAAUACGGGAUAUUCUGGGUCUGUCGCAUGAUGGGUCUGGGAAAGAUAUUGUUUCGGUGGGGGGGGGGCUCGCGGCCUAUCAGCUUGUUGGUGGGGUGAGGGCCUACCAGGGCGGUGACGGGUGGCCGGCCUGAGAGGGUGGACGGUCACACUGGGACUGAGACACGGCCCAGACUCCUACGGGAGGCAGCAGUGGGGAAUAUUGCACAAUGGGCGCAAGCCUGAUGCAGCGACGCCGCGUGAGGGAUGGAGGCCUUCGGGUUGUGAACCUCUUUCGCCAGUGAAGCAGGCCUGCCUCGUUUGUGGGUGGGUUGACGGUAGCUGGAUAAGAAGCGCCGGCUAACUACGUG
rnacentral:rRNA from 1 species